ACUCCUACGGGAGGCAGCAGUAGGGAAUCUUCCACAAUGGGCGCAAGCCUGAUGGAGCAACACCGCGUGAGUGAAGAAGGGUUUCGGCUCGUAAAGCUCUGUUGUUAAAGAAGAACACGUAUGAGAGUAACUGUUCAUACGUUGACGGUAUUUAACCAGAAAGUCACGGCUAACUACGUGCCAGCAGCCGCGGUAAUACGUAGGUGGCAAGCGUUAUCCGGAUUUAUUGGGCGUAAAGAGAGUGCAGGCGGUUUUCUAAGUCUGAUGUGAAAGCCUUCGGCUUAACCGGAGAAGUGCAUCGGAAACUGGAUAACUUGAGUGCAGAAGAGGGUAGUGGAACUCCAUGUGUAGCGGUGGAAUGCGUAGAUAUAUGGAAGAACACCAGUGGCGAAGGCGGCUACCUGGUCUGCAACUGACGCUGAGACUCGAAAGCAUGGGCAGCGAACAGGAUUAGAUACCCUGGUAGGAUAGCG
rnacentral:rRNA from 1 species